GACUACCGGGGUAUCUAAGCCUGUUUGCUCCCCACGCUUUCGCGUCUCAGCGUCAGUAACCGUCCAGAAAGGCGCCUACGCCACUGGUAUUCCUCCCGAUCUCUACGAAUUUCACCUCUACACCGGGAAUUCCCCCUUCCUCUCCAGUACUCAAGAAAUGCAGUUUCCAAUGCACUUCCCAGGUUAAGCCCAGGGCUUUCACAUCAGACUUGCAUCCCCGCCUACUCGCGCUUUACGCCCAAUAAUUCCGAAUAACGCUCGCACCCUCCGUAUUACCGCGGCUGCUGGCACGGAGUUAGCCGGUGCUUCCUCUGGUGGUACCGUCAAAUUCCAUCCGUUUCUUGACGAAACCUUUCUUCCCACCUGACAGGGCUUUACGACCCGAAGGCCUUCUUCACCCACGCGGCGUUGCUGCGUCAGCCUUGCGGCCAUUGCGCAAAAUUCCUCACUGCAGCCGCCCGUAGG
rnacentral:rRNA from 1 species